UACGGAGGGGGCGAGCGUUAUUCGGAAUUAUUGGGCGUAAAGGGCGCGUAGGCGGCUGUACAAGUCAAAGGUGAAAUCCCUCGGCUCAACUGAGGAACUGCCUUUGAAACUGUACGGCUUGAGGCCGGGAGGGGGUAGCGGAAUUCCCGGUGUAGUGGUGAAAUGCGUAGAUAUCGGGAGGAACACCAGUGGCGAAGGCGACUACCUGGCCUGUUCUUGACGCUGAGGCGCGAAAGCUAGGGGAGCAAACGGG
rnacentral:rRNA from 1 species